rnacentral:rRNA from 1 species
UACGUAGGGGGCUAGCGUUGUCCGGAUUUAUUGGGCGUAAAGAGCGUGUAGGCGGCCAUGUAGGUCCGGUGUGAAAACUCGAGGCUUAACCUCGAGAUGUCAUCGGAAACCAUUUGGCUAGAGUCCGGAAGAGGAGAGUGGAAUUCCUGGUGUAGCGGUGAAAUGCGCAGAUAUCAGGAAGAACACCAACGGCGAAGGCAGCUCGCUGGGACGGUACUGACACUGAGGCGCGAAAGCGUGGGGAGCGAACAGG